UACGGAGGGUGCAAGCGUUGUCCGGAAUCACUGGGCGUAAAGGGCGCGUAGGCGGCUCGGUAAGUAGGGGGUGAAAUCCUGCGGCCCAACCGCAGGGCUGCCUUCUAAACUGUCGAGCUCGAGCACGGUAGAGGCAGAUGGAAUUCCCGGUGUAGCGGUGGAAUGCGUAGAGAUCGGGAAGAACAUCAGUGGCGAAGGCGGUCUGCUGGGCCGUUGCUGACGCUGAGGCGCGACAGCGUGGGGAGCGAACAGG
rnacentral:rRNA from 1 species